CCACCCCCACCCCGAGCUCGCCACUCCACGCCCCCUCCUCUCCCAGGCUGGAGGGAGCAGCUCCUGGGUCUCGUGGACUUGGAGUUUCUGUGAAAUAACUGCUUAGGAAAUACGUCCUUCCUACCCUUCCGCCUCCUCCGCCCCCCCUCACCCCUCUCACUGUCACACAUCUCUGAGGUCAUUUCAGCCCUGCCUCCGCCCAGUCAGAAGGAACCCCAGGGGCUGGGCAGCUGGGCGUGCAUGCACAUGUGUGGUAUUGACCAAGGGGCUUUCUUACCAGCCCAGCCUGUGGCUCCACAGUACCAGGAGGUCCUGAGAUUAGAGUCCCCACCCUUGGCUCCAGUCCCCAAUAUUGACGCAACCCAGUGUCUGGAUUCAGAGAAUCACAAAAUGUUUAUCUGGAAUAACAACCACCACCACCACCACCACCACCACUACCUUUUUUUCAGUCCUUAUCCUGCGUCAAGAGCUAUGUCAGGAGUUAUCUCAUUAGUCUCACCACUGACCCUCCAAAAGAGGUACCAUGAGGAUCUCAUUUUAUAGAAGAAGAAACCAAAGCUCAGAGGGGUUAAGUGACUUGUCCACAGUCUCACAGUGAGGAAGUGGUGGAGCUGGGAUUCAAACCCAGGUCUGCCCAACCGCCAGUCCGUGCUCUGAACCAGAGACCGAUGCCUGUAAUCCACAUGUCAUCGCUGAAAAGGCCCCUGUCUGUUCCAGCCAUGUCAUUUUACAGAUGGGAAAACAGAGGCCCAGGAAGGGAGAGCACCUUGCUCAGGGCCACACGAAAAGCCAGUGGCAGAGCCUGGGCUGGACCCUAGGUCUCCUGCCUCAGCCUUGCUCUCAGUGACCAGCCCGGAGCCUCAGAGCAGGCCACGUGUACCUGGACAGGCAGCGCGUGGGAGGCAGGCAGGAGGCUCUGCUCCAGGCAGAGGUAAAUAUUGACAUUUCGGGUGUUUACACCGUAACCCUACUCCUCCCGGCUGCUGCCCCACAGCCGCCCUGCCGCCUUCCCCGCCAAGGAGGCAAAGGAGCCUGCGGGGAGGAGGAUGGGGAGAGGAGGCUUCUGGGCCAGGGGCCGCUCCUCAUGCUCACAGGGAGCCUGGGACAUCUCCAGUCAGGGGGCCACUGGAGGCCUGCUCGGGCUGCUGGGGCAAUGCCUGGAGCUGGGGGUCUGGGCUGGGAGUCACAGGCCUGGGUUUAAUCCUACCUCUGUCCCUGACUGGCAGUGGGACCCAAGAACAGUUGGUAAAUGGGAGGAAAAGGUUUCCCUAACUGUCAAGUGCCGUGCAAAGGUGAACGAUAAAUAACCAACAUUUCAGCCUGGCCAACAUCCAGCCCCAAUCAGCUUCUAACGCCCCUGGCCACUGCCCAGUAGGCCCGUCCACGGCCCCAGGCGGCUUUCCCAGGAGGGCAGAGUUUCUGCGAACUUGAGUGGCAGGUUGGGACGGCAGCCAGGAUCUUGAGGAGUCAGGAGGCCGCUGCCUAGUUCCGGGCCCUAAUUCCCUAAGGGACCUUCGAGCCUCAGCUUUCACAGCUCUGUAAUGGGGAGAGACCUACUUCCUGGGGUUGGCGUGAAGAUCAGAGAGGUUACAAUUUAAGUGCCAGGCACACAGCAGACACUCAUUUUGUCUUCCCACCUGUAAAAGAGGGAAGUUGAAUGAGAUGGUGACGAAUCUUCUUUUAACACAAGCUCUCUGCGGUUUUAUGCAGAUUAGCAGCCAGGCUCACCUCCCUGUCUCUGGCCCUGAAGUUAGAUCCUCCCUCAGCUAAUUUCCUGAACAUUCUCUAGAAACUUGUUCCUCUGUUUACAUUCUCCCCUGAGGACCCCCCACGAGCCCUGCGGGGCGGAGGGAGCCAUUCCAGGGCUUAUCAGGGAGGCCUGCAGAUACGUCACCACCCUAGCCGUCAGGGUCCCAGGGAAAGGGCAGAACUCCCAGGCCCCAGACUCCCAGCGCCACUCCCUGACAGUGGGGUUCAGUCAGUGCUGGUUGUUCACUAAACUCUGCCCCAAGACUAUAACUCUUUAAGAACAGGAGAGCAUCUCCUCAUUUUCAUCUUUCCAAAGCUUGGCUCCUAGAGAGCAUUCCAUUCCACUAACUGUUACCAUAGGAAGCUCAACUGCCACCUCUUCUGGGAAGCCUUGCCUGAUACACACCCACGGCCAGGGUGACUAGAGCUGCAUCCUCAGAUCUGCCUGUCCGCCAGCCUGUGGAAGAGAGACCUAUGGGUCCCAUGCACACUGACCACAGCCCCAACGCCUGUGUUGUGCCAGCCAGACUUGUUUGGUGAAGGAAUGAAUGAAUGAAUGAAGCCCUUUGACGACAGCAAGGGCGCUGACCUAGUUUACUGAAAAGAAAAAACUGAGACACAAAAAGUCAUAAACAGCUGCUGACGGUUCCUCCCUCCCUGGAGACAUCAAAGCGUGGACUUUAGCCAAGCUGGCUACGUCGUGGCUAAUGCCUGUGGAAUCCACCCUGCAGCCUUUCACUUCUCAAACCCUGUUCCUCCCCUCACAGGGCCUGGUCUCUCCAACUGUUUGGGAAACAAUGUAUUUAUUCCUUAACAAAAGUCAACAACAUGCCUUGUUUACCAAAGAUCGCAGCCAGGCAGGGAAACACAAAACACGAGUAACUGGUUACCAGCCCAGGCACUGGCCACACCGGGAAAGGUCC